rnacentral:misc_RNA from 1 species
CUGGAUUCGGCAGCAAGCCGGCGAUGAGUACCAGUAUCUGAAAAUACCACGUCUCAAGACAAAGCAUCACCGCUGACGCACUUGACAGUUUCAAAAACUCCGGCAGGCCGGAGAACGCCUGCACACUGAACCCUGCCCACGUCAGCCGGCAUCGCCUGCUAGUCACUAUGUACACAAACUGCGCCGCCACAGUAAUCCACCACGACAAGCUCAGCACCAGCGAAGCUCCGAUCAGCCCCAACCCCAACUUGUACACAGCCAACCAGCUCAACAAAAG